AGCACGUAGGUGGGUUUGUAAGUCAGAUGUGAAAGCCUUCUGUUCAACGGAAGAAUUGCAUCUGAAACUGCUAAUCUUGAGUAUAGGAGGGGAGAAUGGAACUUCUGGUGGAGCGGUGAAAUGCGUAGAUAUCAGAAGGAACGCCGGCGGCGAAAGCGAUUCUCUGGCCUAUUACUGACACUCAGUGUGCGAAAGCUAGGGGAGCAAACGGGAUUAGAUACCCCGGUAGUCCUAGCCGUAAACGAUGGGCACUAAGUAGAGGGGUUUU
rnacentral:rRNA from 1 species